CAUAAAAAUCUCAUAUUAAUUUGGUAACUGUUGGGUAUAGAAUACCCCCCGACCGAAGUUUGUAAAAGAUCGAUCCUUCCAGGGCUCUUCCGGCUCCCGACCUUAUGUGUGGUGUCUCUCUGAACCCCCUCGACCGUCCGGAUUUCUUCGACAAUGAACUUCUGCACUCAUCCACUGGGCCACUCCAAAGGCCCUCUGAGCCCCACUGUUAGCCGACCUUCUGCAGCAACCAACUAUUUUUCGAACUUCGUCUGCAUCCGAGCUUCCCCGACAGCGAGACUUCUACGGUAACCAGACUCCAUCCAAGUUUCCACAGUAGUCGAUCACCUUUAGGAUCCCAAUCGAGCUCCCACGAGAGCCGAACUUCUACUACGAAUAGUCUACUCUAAACUCCUACAACGGGCUAUCUAUCCCAGACAUCUACUGUAAGCAAAUUCCAUUCAAGCCUCUACUGUAAACAAAUUCUCUCCGAACUUCUAUUACAGGUAGACUUCAGCCAAGCUACUUCUCCGACGGAUGGGUUCCGGACGAGCUCCAGCAGCUGGGUCCCUGCGAUAGCCA
rnacentral:lncRNA from 1 species